CAGGUAGCAAAGCUAUCAGUAAACAUAAAUUCAAUGUCUGGAACCAGGCACAUCUGAUUCCUGUGAAUGAUGAGACAAGGAGACAAGGAGAUCCCACCAGGGACUACAGGCCACUCACUAACCUGUCUGUGACUUACCAGUACCGUAAUACCUGUAAGUACAGAGAUUUGGCGAUGGGGGAUAAAUCCUGCUUCACUUGGAGAAUGUAAAACAGGCAUCAUAAUCAUCAUAGGCCCUACAGCAGGAGAACUAUCCGUUGUGGAUUUCCCGUCAAGCUUUCAUUUUCUACUGUGUUGGAAUCUACAGCAAGUCUGCAUUCCCUGGUUCCUGCCGACAUGUCCACCUCCGCUGAUUAAGACCCUCAGGAGCCACAGUCAGCAGUUAGGCAAUGGGCCUGUUUGAAAGCUAACACCACAACAUGAUGAUUCACAAAGUUUUUCAGUCUUGAGAACUUAAAAUCUCACAAAACCUGGACUUCCUGGCUUGGGUUAUUCACUGGAGCUGUGCUUCCCUUCUCAGGUCCUGUGCUGGCUUCGAGUCUUAGGAUGCAGGGAACUGGGCAAAGGGAGAGAUGAGAAGGCUCCGGCAAUCCAUUCAGACAUGGACCCCAAAACACAGGUUUUGUGGGGCAACCUUUUGACAGACAGGGUCUUGCUCUGUCACCCAGGCUGGAGUACAGUGGCGUGA